UCCCUGAAGGACUAGGGGUUAGGCCACAGUGCCCUCACUGCUGCGGCCCAGGUUCAAUUCCCGGCCAGGGAA
rnacentral:tRNA from 1 species